rnacentral:rRNA from 1 species
AGAGUUUGAUCCUGGCUCAGGACGAACGCUGGCGGCGCGCCUAACACAUGCAAGUCGAACGAGAGAUGAGGAGCUUGCUCUUCAAAUCGAGUGGCGAACGGGUGAGUAACGCGUGAGGAACCUGCCUCAAAGAGGGGGACAACAGUUGGAAACGACUGCUAAUACCGCAUAAGCCCACGGCUCGGCAUCGAGCAGAGGGAAAAGGAGCAAUCCGCUUUGAGAUGGCCUCGCGUCCGAUUAGCUAGUUGGUGAGGUAACGGCCCACCAAGGCGACGAUCGGUAGCCGGACUGAGAGGUUGAACGGCCACAUUGGGACUGAGACACGGCCCAGACUCCUACGGGAGGCAGCAGUGGGGGAUAUUGCACAAUGGGGGAAACCCUGAUGCAGCGACGCCGCGUGGAGGAAGAAGGUCUUCGGAUUGUAAACUCCUGUUGUUGAGGAAGAUAAUGACGGUACUCAACAAGGAAGUGACGGCUAACUACGUGCCAGCAGCCGCGGUAAAACGUAGGUCACAAGCGUUGUCCGGAAUUACUGGGUGUAAAGGGAGCGCAGGCGGGAGAACAAGUUGGAAGUGAAAUCCAUGGGCUCAACCCAUGAACUGCUUUCAAAACUGUUUUUCUUGAGUAGUGCAGAGGUAGGCGGAAUUCCCGGUGUAGCGGUGGAAUGCGUAGAUAUCGGGAGGAACACCAGUGGCGAAGGCGGCCUACUGGGCACCAACUGACGCUGAGGCUCGAAAGUGUGGGUAGCAAACAGGAUUAGAUACCCUGGUAGUCCACACCGUAAACGAUGAUUACUAGGUGUUGGAGGAUUGACCCCUUCAGUGCCGCAGUUAACACAAUAAGUAAUCCACCUGGGGAGUACGACCGCAAGGUUG